rnacentral:lncRNA from 1 species
GUCCCAGGCUAGUAGUAGCACCAGCCACUGCACUUCUGUAAAACUAAGUUGUUGGCAAAUUUGAUACAGGUCAGUAGUUUGAGCUAGAACAUCCAAUGGAGUUGCGUAACUUGGCAAAAGUCUUGCUUUUUCAGUCUUCUGCAUAUUCAAUGUGCUUUACUCCUAGCAACUUGAACGUUCAGGCUUUGAGGGAAGAUUUAGCUUUAACUUUGGAUUUUCUAUAUCUUGCUCUGAAGUAACCUCACUUCCUUUCACCACGUCCUGCCACGUCAUUUGAAAGAGGUAAGAAGUGCCUUUUGUACGCCUCAGGGUUUUGUUCACAUGAAUCCAGCCAAACUGAGAGCCACUAUAUACCUGGCUCCAUUACCUCAGGGUUUUGUUCACAUGAGAGCCACUAUAUACCUGGCUCCAUUUGCAGGAAGGAGGGUGAAGAACUUCCCAUUGCACUUGCUGCUACAGAGCUGGAUGCAUUGCCCAUUCCCUGCGCAGACUUGAGUACUGAGCCGGUGUAGUAUUGCUGUCCAUCACCAAGGAAACGGAGGGCUGGGGAGAGACACUUUUAUUCCCCAGCUGCUUUCUGCUGCACAGGGGAACAUGAAGCGAUGCUGCCUGGGAAGCAGAGGAGUCCUCUCUCCAGGGCACUGAGCUGGGAUUUUCACGUUCUUUCACUGCCGUUGUUUCCGAGGUGUUGUGUGACCUUGGGAUGUCAUUGUGAAUUAUGUCAGUUCAUGCUGAAAGAGUGGAUUGAAAGUGACUCGCUCUGGAUUUAUCCAUUCCCAUCCUUUGUUUCAAGAGGAUUGAGUUAAAAACUUUUACUCCAAGGCUAAAGACCUACCAAAACUACCUUUAUUAUUUAUAGUUCUUAUGGCUGUCACAUCGCCAUCUCAAAGUCAUUGACCAAGACUCCGUUGAGCUAGGUAAUAUGCAUAAAGAACAAAAAAGGAUGUUUUGGCACUGAGAGCUUACAUUUGAGAAUAAAAGGAGACAAUAGAAUAAGAAGAACA